rnacentral:lncRNA from 1 species
UUUUUAGGGCUGCACCUGCAGCAUAUGAAGGUUCCCAGGCUAGGAGUCUAAUCGGAGCUGUAGCCACUGGCCUACACGAGGGCCGCAGCAACGCAGGAUCCAAGCCAUGUCUGUGAACUACACCACAGCUCACGGCAACCCUGGCUCCUUAACCCACUGAGAAAAGCCAGGGAUUGAACCCACAACCUCAUGGUUCCUAGUCAGAUUCAUUAACCACUGCAUUAUGACAGGAACUCCAACCAGAGUUCAUUCUUUAUUCAGAUGUCCUUCGUUUUGAGCUCAUGCCCAUUGCUAUCCAAAGAUCCCACUUAUGACACCAUGUUAUAUUUGGUCAUCAUGUCUCCUUAGGUUUCUUUCAACUGCAAGAUUUUCCAUGUUUUUGAUGACCUUGGUGGUUUUGAGGACUACCAUUCAGGUAUUCUGUAGACGGUCCUUCAAUUUGGGUUUGCUUGAUGUUUUCCACAUGGUUAAACUGAGAUAAUGGGUUUUGGGGAGGAAAACCCCAGAAGUGAUUACAAAUCAAGGGUACAUGACUUAUCACUGUUGAUGUAGACCUUGAUCACCUGGCUGAGGUUGCUCUCUCUCCCUCUUUUCACACUAUACUCUCUCUGAAGUCAUUAUGCCUAGCCCACACUUGAGGAUGGAGGAGUUAUGCUCCACUUCUUUAAGGGAGGUGCAUCUAUAUAAAUUACCUGUAAUUCUUCUGUAUGAGAUAUUUGUCUGUUCUCCCUCAUUUAUUUACCAUUUAUUUAUAUCAGUAUAGAUUCAUGGAUAUUUCUUUCGAACAUUGCUUAUGGUCCAAUUUUUUGUUGCUCAAAUUGUUCUAGCUUUGCCCACCUGGAAGCUAGUGCAGGUGGCUCCUAUGUCCCUCUGUCAUGCCCCCAUCACUGUGUUCUUUGAGCAUUUCCUUAUUCUCGAGCACCCCAAAUGCUCCAGGAUCAACUUGUAUCCUUCCUGCCCCAUACCCAGAAUCAAUCAUUUCUUCAACAAGCCCUGAGUGCUUUCACUAGAAGUUGGUGUUAUAACCCAAGAUUUGGAUGCUUGGUUGGACAACAGGUUUUGUGAUACUGGGACCUAGACUCACAGUGGCUCCCAAGCCUGACUGCUCACAAGAAGCACCUUGAAUGUUGACUGCAGCAGGGCUGGUGGUUCCUCAUGUGUUCCUGAGGCUCCACACCAUGCAGCACCCACCCACACAUCACACAUUGUUAACAGAUGAGAUGUUCAUUCACAUGAAAGUACUUCUCCUUGCAGUAAUUUGCAAGUACAGCUUAUACCAACAUUUACUGAAGUUGAGGCUUCUUAGCAAAAUGUACAUCAGGCACUGCUAAUGUUCUCUCUGCCACCCCCUGGAGGUUGGUCCUCCUCUCAAGGUCCAGAGAAUAAGGAAGGUAAUAGGCUGGUUCUGAGCAGAAGACACUAAUGUCACUACCUUCUUUCUGGGACCAGGAGGAGAGCUCUAAUUUGAUUUAAAGUAUGCGGUGUGUGAACAGAAGAGCUAUGUGUGAGUGUGUGUAGACUGUGAGAGUGUGUGAGACCAGGUGUAUAUGUGUGACAGUGUGUGUGUGAAUGUGGUAUGUAAACUUGAGAUUAUGCAUGAGUGUGAGGAUGGUAUGUGAGCAUGUGUGUGUGUGUAACCAUGAGUGUGAGACAUUGUCUGAGUUUGGGAUGAGAAUAGGCAACACUGGGUCCCUCUGGGACAUCAGACCCAGUGACACGAGCCUGGCCCCCCUCUCAGGAGGAAGCACAGUCUGGGGACUGGGGGCUCCAGCCUGGCUUGGUGCCAACCCUCGUCUCUCGCCUCCCCCAGGGAACCUGAGUAUAGCACCAAACAGUCAAAUAUUUUCCUUUUCUGUCAUCACUAACUAUAGCUCCGUGAGUUCCCAGCUUGCUGCGUUAGCUCCUUGCCAUAAUUAGCAAUUUUCUGAUAUCACACUAACACUGGUUCAUUAUUUCCUUGGAGACAAAGCAAAGCCGUGGGAUGUGGCUGGGAAAUGGAUAGACUCAGCUCCAGAGAAAAGCCUGGCACUUGUGCAUUUGUCACAUGGCAGCGUGGUCCCCAGAAGGGCUCCAUGACCUGGAGUGGGGUUGGGGGUGAGGACACACGGGAAGGCCUGGGUGGUCACCACGGGGCCCCCAGCCUCGCUCCUCCUCCACAUCACAAACCCUGAAGCUCUGGGAACCUGUUCCCCUGCAGCCCUUCACCAGUGCUGCAGCCAGGUCCACAGCAUCCCUGGCCAGGUACACAGCAUUCCUGACAGGUCCACAGCAUCCCAGGCCAAGUCCAGGUGGGAAGAGGGGAGAUUUGUCCUCGCUCCCUUCCCAAGCUGCCUGUGCAGCCCAGAUGCACCCACCCUCCCUGAGGAACAACACAACUCACUGCCCUCACCCCAUAUCCUUAGGGCCCUGCUUUGGGACAAGGUGACUUGUAAUACCCUCCUGGAGGCAGGGCCCUUCCCCAGCCCCCUACCUCCCCCCCGCCGGCCCCGGGAGAGGGGGAAGUAAGAGUUUGGGGCCCAUGGUUACACAGGAGGCACCACCAUUCCUCUUAAAGGCUGCUUUGGUAAAAAGAAGAAAAACCACUCACAAGACUAUUUUUGCCUAAUGACUCUAGUAGACGCUGGGUUUUCUUGCUGGACUUACUCAAAUAACAACCCCGGGGUGUCUUCCUUUCAUGAGCGAGAAAGUCCCUUCUGGGUGGGAAGUUGAAGAUGCUUCUCCAUUCCCAGAACCCAGUGGGGGCUGCAGGUGUGUGGGCCAGGUGCGUCCAGGAAGGUGAGGUGCCUUCACUGCCCCGGGCUGCCCCCAACACAGGGCUAUAUGAGAUUCUCUCGCCGGCCACGCCCUGUUUGGUCAGCACACCUGAGCCUGAGCCUGGCCACCCAACCCCCCACCCCCCGCUUGGGCUGGGUGGAUGUUCUCUGGAGGCCCAGGCAGCUGGCCGCUCAGUGACAGCGUGACUGCAUGACCCAGUUUUCUGGGACAGCCCCUAGAUGACACCUCCUGCCCUGGAUUCACGGUUAAUAACUCCCUGAAGGGUCACUGGACCAGAACAAAGCUCACCCUACCUGGUGAGGAAGCCUUGAGGGCCAGCAGUGUCUCCUCGGCCCCUGCAGUCCGGCCUGUCUGUGCCACCUCCAUCCCAAUCACUCAACCCCCCCACCGCCCAGCUGGGGGUGAGGCGGGGAGACGGGCUCUGGGGCAGACACGUCUGUUCAAAUCCAGCCCAGCCCCUUUAGGGCCACCGGUGUCCUGAAGCCCUCCUGGGUGUCUCCAGCCAGAGCUGUCCUCUGAACCUGCAAAUCCCGCCUGCGCUUCUUCCACCCGCCUUGGCACGUUCUUUCUGAAACGCUGCAGAGGCCGCGUCAGGCUUUGGAAGAUACCUGCUUGGGCACAAACCCAGCUCUCCCGCAGAGACUUCUGCUACCCUGGGCAAGUCGCUUUCCCUGCACUAAGCCUCAGUUUGCCCACCUGUGAAACAGCGUGAUCACAGCGCCUGCACCUCAGAGUCAUUAAGAGGAUAGAGUGAGUGGAUACACAUGAGGCACUGGGACCCACUCGCACACACGUGUUAGCGGUUCCUUUAAGCACCACUUCCUCUCCUUUCUCUACUGGAAGCGCCUUUCCUGUAAAAGGUCAAACUCAAAGUUAUCUGUUGAAUGGUGACUCCACGCCAGGGGCUUUUCACCAAUCAUCGAACCACCUCUGAGAGCUGGGGGUCACUGACCCAUUUCAUAGGAGAAGAAGAGAAGGUUCAGAGAGGUUAGCUAACUGGCUCAGGUCACACAGCCUGGUCAUUAAAGGAUGGAGGAUGAUUUCAAACACAGGCCCUUCCUGCAGCUGGUCACACAACCACCCCAUCUCCCUCCACAAAAACCUCACAAUGACAAAUAAACCUUUGUCCUGAAAUAGAUGGCAGGUUGGUCGUAGCGGUUUACAACAGAUGACGUUGGCAAUCAGUUGAGCUCUUCAAGAAAAAUCAGAUGGAUUCCAGGCAUCUAUUUAGGAGGACAGUCAUUUACACCAGCCAGGAAGCAUUAAGAGCUUCCGCCAAAAUCAAGAGGUUUUUGCUCCCAGUGUUCUGCCCUGACUACGUGCCAUCAAGUCUGCCUGUGGCCGUGACUUCGGGAUGGCAGAAAAGAUGUCCACACAAGGUUUGCUGUUUGCAGGAAGGGCAAGUGGACCUUGUUCCCAGGUAUGAGGAGAGGAAGGCUCACGAGGCAGUCUUGGGCUCUGCUACCUCCCCUCAGGGGCCUCAGUGUUGUCCUCUGUGCAAUGGGACUGGAUGACCCCUGUGGCCCUUACUCUGCAGGGUCCCUGAGUCACACCUCUUUGAUGCUUUUGGUUUCAUCUGCUUUCUAGAAGGGUUGCUUAGCAAUUAGUAUAGACGGCUGAACAGUGCCCCCACCCAAAAGAUAUGUCCACAUCAUGAUGUAACCCAGAACAUGUGAGUGUCAUCUUUUUUGGAAAAAGGAUCUUUGCAGAUGAAUUAAUUUAAGGAUCUUGAGAUGAGACCAUCCACUGCAUCCUAGGUUACCAGUGGGCCCUAUAUCCAGCGACAAGCUUCCCUUCCUCUCAGAGGACCCGUCCCCUCUCCACUCCAGGUCUAAUCUCCCCUGCAUCUUGCUCCCUAGGUCCUGUGCUUCAGCCUCAGCCAGUGUCUUCAAUGGCUCCAUCCCAGCUGUGCUUUCCUCUGGGAACAUAAACACAGUCCAUGGACAUCAUCUCACGUGAUGAACAACCUAUACCAAGGGCACAUCAGGCAGUUCAAGGGCAGAGAAAGGAGAAUGAGCAAUGACCUAAGAAAUGAUCCUCAGCCUCGCCAGGAGCAGAGGAUGCACACUACAACCACAAGGCACCACAUUUCAGUCAAUUUUGAUGGAUGUGUUUCCAUCACCUCUGAUCCCCUGAACUUAGAAACGUCCUGCAGUGCCCAGGGCUGGUAAAACCUCGGGAGAUGGAGCUUUCAUUUAGGAAAGAACCAAAAUGGGCAUCAGAGGAGGACAGAUCUGGAAAAUGAGGCACAGUCACACAAUGUGGCUGUCUGUAAAGCAAGCACAGCAGCUCAGCGUGGAAAGGACAGUUUGAGAAUGCAUGCUGGGUGAACAUGACUUUCUCUUUUUCUUUCUUUUUUUAAGGGCUGCACCCACAGCAUAUGGAGGGUCCAAGGCUAGGGAGCGAAUCAGAGGUACAGCUGCCAGCCUACACCACAGCUCACAGCAACACCAGA